rnacentral:rRNA from 1 species
UACGUAGGGUGCGAGCGUUAAUCGGAAUUACUGGGCGUAAAGCGUGCGCAGGCGGUUUUGUAAGCCAGAUGUGAAAUCCCCGGGCUUAACCUGGGAAUGGCAUUUGGGACUGCAAGGCUUGAGUGCGGCAGGGGAGACUGGAAUUCCUGGUGUAGCAGUGAAAUGCGUAGAUAUCAGGAGGAGCACCGAUGGCGAAGGCAGGUCUCUGGGCUGACACUGACGCUCAUGCACGAAAGCGUGGGGAGCAAACAGG